GUUCCAGUUUCUAGGUAACUUAAUAAUCAUUUCAAAAAAUAUGAGAAUUAGCGUGGCCCCUGCGCAAGGAUGACAUGCAAAUUUGUGAAGCAUUCCAUAUUUUU